rnacentral:tRNA from 1 species
GUCAUGUGGUGUAUUCGGGUAACACGCUCGUCCUUGAAACGAGAGCAGUAAGGUUCAAGUCCUUGCUAUGACA